rnacentral:rRNA from 1 species
GACGAACGCUGGCGGCGUGCUUAACACAUGCAAGUCGAACGGAAAGGCCCUGCUUUUGUGGGGUGCUCGAGUGGCGAACGGGUGAGUAACACGUGAGUAACCUGCCCUUGACUUUGGGAUAUCUUCAGGAAACUGGGGCUAAUACCGGAUAGGAGCUCCUGCUGCAUGGUGGGGGUUGGAAAGUUUCGGCGGUUGGGGAUGGACUCGCGGCUUAUCAGCUUGUUGGUGGGGUAGUGGCUUACCAAGGCUUUGACGGGUAGCCGGCCUGAGAGGGUGACCGGCCACAUUGGGACUGAGAUACGGACCAGACUCCUACGGGAGGCAGCAGUGGGGAAUAUUGCACAAUGGGCGGAAGCCUGAUGCAGCAACGCCGCGUGCGGGAUGACGGCCUUCGGGUUGUAAACCGCUUUCGCCUGUGACGAAGCGUGAGUGACGGUAAUGGGUAAAGAAGCACCGGCUAACUACGUG